rnacentral:rRNA from 1 species
UAGGGAAUAUUAGAAAUGGACGAAAGUCUGAUCUAGCAACACCGCGUGUGCGAAGAAGGCCUUCGGGUCGUAAAGCACUUUUUGGAAGGAAUAGGAAGGAAUGUACUUCCAGAAUAAGUCUCGGCUAACUACGUGCCAGCAGCCGCGGUAACACGUAGGAGGCAAACGUUAUCCGGAUUUACUGGGCGUAAAGCGCGUGUAGGUGGUACUGUAAGUAGGGCGUGAAAGCUCCCGGCUCAACUGGGAGAGGCCGUUCUAAACUGCAGAACUAGAGGAUGGUAGAGGGAGGUGGAAUUCCAGGUGUAGCGGUGGAAUGCGCAGAUAUCUGGAGGAACACCAGUGGCGAAGGCGGCCUCCUGGACCAUUCCUGACACUCAGACGCGAAAGCUAGGGUAGCAAACGG